rnacentral:rRNA from 1 species
UACGUAGGGGGCGAGCGUUGUCCGGAAUUACUGGGCGUAAAGGGCGCGUAGGCGGCCCGUUAAGUCCGCUGUGAAAGACCGAGGCUCAACCUCGGGGUGUCAGCGGAGACUGUCGGGCUGGAGUCUCGGAGAGGGAUGCGGAAUUCCUGGUGUAGCGGUGGAAUGCGUAGAGAUCAGGAGGAACACCGAUGGCGAAGGCAGCAUCCUGGCCGAGUACUGACGCUGAGGCGCGAAAGCGUGGGGAGCGAACGGGG